rnacentral:lncRNA from 1 species
GUUCCUUGGGAGUGGCGGGAGCCACUCUGCCGGGUGCUGGGAGCCCGGCCCUGUGAAGGGGAGUCUGGUGCCAGGAGCGGUGGGUGGCUCUCUGCCCAGUGCUCACAGGGGACACCGCCUCAUUCCCUGCCAGCCCAAGACGGGGGUGUUUCCUUCUCUCGCCCACAAGGAAGUUGAUCCUUUCUGGGCCCUUCUCCUGGGGCCAGAGCCAAACAAGAUAAGGAGUUUCAAAGUGCUCCCGGGCGGAACCGCCCUCAACAGAAACUGGCAUUUUUCGGAUUAUAAUAGUAAUGCGAGCGCCGCACCAGGUUUGGGAAACUGUACAAAGUUGAAAAAAAAAAUCUUAAAGUUCGCUUAUUUGGAAAGAACGCCCCGGUGUGGGGGAGUGACUCAGGGCAGAGUUACGACCUGUGUGCAAGGCCCUGGGCACCGUCCCCAGCCAGAAAAGAGGAAAUCUUUAGUGCUUUUCUGGGUAUAUAUUUCACAUCAAUGAAAAAAUUUUUUUUUCAAAGGAAAAACUAUAAGAGGAAGAGCAUCAAAAUCCCUGGCCCCCGCCCCUCCCAUCCAGUCCUCUUAAUUGGUAACUUCUUUUUUAUUUGUACUGGGGAUUGAACUCAGGGGCACUCGACCACUGAGCCACAUCCCCAGCCCUAUUUUGUAGUCUCAUUGAGUUGCUUAGGGCCUCACUUUUGCUGAGGCUGGCCUUGAACCUUGGAUCCUCCAGCCUCAGCCUCUGGAGCCGCUGGGAUUAGGGGCGAUCACCUCCGUGCCUGGCUCCCCCUUUUUAAAAUAUUUUAUUUAGUGACAGGGGCUCGCUGAGUUGCUU